rnacentral:rRNA from 1 species
UACGUAGGGGGCGAGCGUUAUCCAGAUUUACUGGGCGUAAAGCGCGUGUAGGCGGCUGGUUAGGUGUGAUGUGAAAUCCUCGGGCUCAACCCGAGAACUGCAUUGCAAACCGGCCUGGCUAGAGUGCAGGAGAGGGAAGCGGAAUUCCAGGUGUAGCGGUGAAAUGCGUAGAUAUCUGGAGGAACACCGGUGGCGAAGGCGGAUCUCUGGGCCUUACCUGACGCUCAGGUGCGAAAGCUAGGGGAGCGAAUGGG